rnacentral:rRNA from 1 species
ACGCACGCUGGCGGCGUGCUUCACACAUGCAAGUCGCACGCUGAAGCUUGGUGCUUGCACUGGGUGGAUGAGUGGCGAACGGGUGAGUAAUACGUGAGUAACCUGCCCUUGACUCUGGGAUAAGCCUGGGAAACUGGGUCUAAUACUGGAUACGACAUGUCACCGCAUGGUGGUGUGUGGAAAGGGUUUUACUGGUUUUGGAUGGGCUCACGGCCUAUCAGCUUGUUGGUGGGGUAAUGGCUCACCAAGGCGACGACGGGUAGCCGGCCUGAGAGGGUGACCGGCCACACUGGGACUGAGACACGGCCCAGACUCCUACGGGAGGCAGCAGUGGGGAAUAUUGCACAAUGGGCGGGAGCCUGAUGCAGCGACGCCGCGUGAGGGAUGACGGCCUUCGGGUUGUAAACCUCUUUCAGCACGGAAGAAGCGAAAGUGACGGUACGUGAAGAAGAAGCGCCGGCUAACUACGUG